GUGGGGAAUAUUGGACAAUGGGCGAAAGCCUGAUCCAGCCAUGCCGCGUGUGUGAAGAAGGUCUUCGGAUUGUAAAGCACUUUAAGUUGGGAGGAAGGGCAGUAAGUUAAUACCUUGCUGUUUUGACGUUACCGACAGAAUAAGCACCGGCUAACUUCGUGCCAGCAGCCGCGGUAAUACGAAGGGUGCAAGCGUUAAUCGGAAUUACUGGGCGUAAAGCGCGCGUAGGUGGUUUUGUAAGUUGGAGGUGAAAUCCCCGGGCUCAACCUGGGAACUGCCUCCAAAACUGCAUGACUAGAGUACGGGAGAGGGUAGUGGAAUUUCCUGUGUAGCGGUGAAAUGCGUAGAUAUAGGAAGGAACACCAGUGGCGAAGGCGACUACCUGGACUGAUACUGACACUGAGGUGCGAAAGCGUGGGGAGCAAACAGGAUUAGAUACCCCUGUAGUCC
rnacentral:rRNA from 1 species